CCUACGGGUGGCAGCAGUGAGGAAUAUUGGUCAAUGGGCGCGAGCCUGAACCAGCCAAGUAGCGUGAAGGAUGACUGCCCUACGGGUUGUAAACUUCUUUUAUAAAGGAAUAAAGUGAGGCACGUGUGCCUUUUUGUAUGUACUUUAUGAAUAAGGAUCGGCUAACUCCGUGCCAGCAGCCGCGGUAAUACGGAGGAUCCGAGCGUUAUCCGGAUUUAUUGGGUUUAAAGGGAGCGUAGAUGGGUUGUUAAGUCAGUUGUGAAAGGUUGCGGCUCAACCGUAAAAUUGCAAUUGAUACUGGCAGUCUUGAGUACAGUUGAGGUAAGCGGAAUUCGUGGUGUAGCGGUGAAAUGCUUAGAUAUCGCGAAGAACCCCGGUUGCGAAGGCAGCUUACUAAACUGUGACUGACAUUGAUGCUCGAAAGUGUGGGGAUCAAACGGGAUUAGAUACCCCGGUAGUC
rnacentral:rRNA from 1 species